rnacentral:rRNA from 1 species
GACGAACGCUGGCGGCGUGCUUAACACAUGCAAGUCGAACGGAAAGGCCCUGCUUUUGUGGGGUGCUCGAGUGGCGAACGGGUGAGUAACACGUGAGUAACCUGCCCUUGACUUUGGGAUAACUUCAGGAAACUGGGGCUAAUACCGGAUAGGAGCUCCUGCUGCAUGGUGGGGGUUGGAAAGUUUCGGCGGUUGGGGAUGGACUCGCGGCUUAUCAGCUUGUUGGUGGGGUAGUGGCUUACCAAGGGUUUGACGGGUAGCCGGCCUGAGAGGGUGACCGGCCACAUUGGGACUGAGAUACGGCCCAGACUGCUACGGGAGGCAGCAGUGGGGAAUAUUGCACAAUGGGCGGAAGCCUGAUGCAGCAACGCCGCGUGCGGGAUGACGGCCUUCGGGUUGUAAACCGCUUUCGCCUGUGACGAAGCGUGAGUGACGGUAAUGGGUAAAGAAGCACCGGCUAACUACGUG